UAAAAGCAUUUCACUUCCAAGGAGAGCAUUGAUUUUUUGUUUGCAAUCACCUUUAGUGGCCUUAGCUUCACCUUCAGCAAAAAUUGUAAUUAAUGUUUAUUUAAAUUUGACUAUAAUUCUUAAUUUGAUCAUAAAAUAUAAAAAAAAAACAUCCAACUCCAGCACAUCAAAAUGGCAUGCUGCCCUUUCAAAUCAAUAGAUUUUUUUUCAUUUGCUUACUUUUUUUCUGAUUCGUUCUGUUUGGAAAUUUGGAUAUAAUUAUAUUUUGAAAAAUAUUAAAAAGGUCCAAGGCAAAAUUCGAGGCCUGUCAAUAAUGUACUCAAACCGUUAAAGCGCUAUAUCAUCAAUCCUUUACCCAAAGCGUUAAAGCGCUACAUCAUUCACUACUCUGUAUAAGCCAUAAAGAAGUGAUUACAUAAUAUAAUCAUUAUUUACAUUAGUAAUGGAUUAAUUUUAAAAAAUCUUAAAUUUCAAGCGUUCUUUAUUCCAGGUAAUUCUGUGAAAAUAUUUUCAGUUUUAACUUCGUGAGAGAAAAUUGGGCAACAUACUUAUUGUCGUGUUUACACAUUAAAUAAUAAUUUCGUAAUUUCAAAACAAAAAAAAUUCAGCCUCAGCCCUGUUUGGGUCCUACCUUUUAAAUAAGAAGAAAUCCAAAGAAGCCAAAGAGACGGAGGGAAACUUAAACGGUCAAGCUUGUGGAGUAAAAGAUUAUGAAAGUAAUGCAUAAUUUACCAAGGAAGUUAAUUCAAGCAGAUUGGCCGUAGUUGACAGAUCCUUUACGAAUCCAUGUUGAACAGGGGAGACAACAUGAUUGCAGAAGUAAGCAAAGUUAUUAUUUUUUCAAAUAAUAUCCACAAUUCCGACAGUUUUGCAAUGCCCCUGUAAUUUUUUAUAUUAGACUUUCCACCUUUCUUGUGGAGAGGAAUUAUUAUUCCAUAAGAUUCUCACCAAAAAGUUGUAGACAGAAGAUUUAAGGAAUAGAUUAAAAAGCUUAAGCAAUAGACGAAGAAAGGGAGAACUGCACUCCUUGAGUUGUCAACUAGGCAUAUUGUCAGGAACAGGAGAGUAAGAUUUUAAAGAAUUUAUAGCAGAAAGGAGAGAGGAUUGGGAAAUAAUUGGAGCAAGUAUAGAACCAAAGGAAGAAU